AAGCCAGACAGGCACUGGGCGACUCUGUGCCUCACUGAGGAAAAAUUACUCAACAUGAGCAAAGGAGAUCCUAAGAAGCCAAGAGGCGAAAUGUCAUCGUACGCAUUUUUGUGCAAACUUGUCAGGAGGAGCAUAAGAAGAAGCAUCCAGAUGCUUAGGUCAACUUCUCAGAGUUUUCUAAGAAGUGCUUAGAGAGGUGGAAGACCAUGUCUGCUAAAGAGAAAGGAAAAUUUGAAGAUACGGCAAAGGCGGACAAGGCCCAUAAUGAAAGAGAAAUGAAAAUCUAUAUCCCUUCUAAAGGGGAGACAAGAAAGAAGUUCAAGGAUCCCAAGGCACCCAAGAGGCCUCCUUCAGCCUUUUUUUCUAUUCUGUUCUGAGUAUUGCCCAAAACAUCCUGGCCUGUCCAUUGGUGAUGCUGCGAAGAGACUGGGAGAGAUGUGGAAUGACACUGCUGCAGGUGACAAGCAGCCUUAGGAGAAGAAGGCUGCAAAGCCGAAGGAAAAAUGCGAAAAGGGUCUUGCUGCAUAUCGAGCUAAAGGAAAGCCUGAUGCAGCAAAAAAGGGAGUUGUCAAGGCUGAAAAAAAGCAAGAAAAAGAGGAGGAAGCUGAGGAAAAUGAAGAGGGUGAGGAGGGGGAAGAUAAAGAGAUGAAGAUGAAGAAGACAAUGAUAAUGAAUAA
rnacentral:lncRNA from 1 species